UACGAAGGGGGCGAGCGUUGUUCGGAUUUACUGGGCGUAAAGGGCGCGUAGGCGCUUGUCAGUCAGGCGUGAAAGCCCGGGACUCACCUGGGAACGGCGCUUGGGACGGCGAGGCUGGAGUUCGGGAGAGGAGAGUGGAAUUCCCAGUGUAGAGGUGAAAUUCGAUAGAUAUUGGGAAGGAACACCGGUGGCGAAGGCGGCUCUCUGGACCGACACUGACGCUGAGGCGCGAAAGCGUGGGGAGCAAACAGG
rnacentral:rRNA from 1 species